GAACGCUAGCUACAGGCUUAACACAUGCAAGUCGAGGGGCAGCAUCAUCAAAGCUUGCUUUGAUGGAUGGCGACCGGCGCACGGGUGAGUAACACGUAUCCAACCUGCCGACAACACUGGGAUAGCCUUUCGAAAGAAAGAUUAAUACCGGAUGGCAUAGUUUUCCCGCAUGGGAUAAUUAUUAAAGAAUUUCGGUUGUCGAUGGGGAUGCGUUCCAUUAGGCAGUUGGCGGGGUAACGGCCCACCAAACCAACGAUGGAUAGGGGUUCUGAGAGGAAGGUCCCCCACAUUGGAACUGAGACACGGUCCAAACUCCUACGGGAGGCAGCAGUGAGGAAUAUUGGUCAAUGGACGAGAGUCUGAACCAGCCAAGUAGCGUGAAGGAUGACUGCCCUAUGGGUUGUAAACUUCUUUUAUACGGGAGUAAAGUGAGCCACGUGUGGCUUUUUGUAUGUACCGUAUGAAUAAGGAUCGGCUAACUCCGUGCCAGCAGCCGCGGUAAUACGGAGGAUCCGAGCGUUAUCCGGAUUUAUUGGGUUUAAAGGGAGCGUAGGCGGGUUGUUAAGUCAGUUGUGAAAGUUUGCGGCUCAACCGUAAAAUUGCAGUUGAUACUGGCGACCUUGAGUGCAACAGAGGUAGGCGGAAUUCGUGGUGUAGCGGUGAAAUGCUUAGAUAUCACGAAGAACUCCGAUUGCGAAGGCAGCUUACUGGAUUGUAACUGACGCUGAUGCUCGAAAGUGUGGGUAUCAAACAGGAUUAGAUACCCUGGUAGUCCACACAGUAAACGAUGAAUACUCGCUGUUGGCGAUAUACGGUCAGCGGCCAAGCGAAAGCAUUAAGUAUUCCACCUGGGGAGUACGCCGGCAACGGUGAAACUCAAAGGAAUUGACGGGGGCCCGCACAAGCGGAGGAACAUGUGGUUUAAUUCGAUGAUACGCGAGGAACCUUACCCGGGCUUAAAUUGCAACUGACGGAACCGGAAACGGUUCUUUCUUCGGACAGUUGUGAAGGUGCUGCAUGGUUGUCGUCAGCUCGUGCCGUGAGGUGUCGGCUUAAGUGCCAUAACGAGCGCAACCCUUACGGGUAGUUACCAUCAGGUUAUGCUGGGGACUCUACCCGGACUGCCGUCGUAAGAUGUGAGGAAGGUGGGGAUGACGUCAAAUCAGCACGGCCCUUACGUCCGGGGCUACACACGUGUUACAAUGGGGGGUACAGAAGGCAGCUACACGGCGACGUGGUGCUAAUCCCAAAAGCCUCUCUCAGUUCGGAUUGGAGUCUGCAACCCGACUCCAUGAAGCUGGAUUCGCUAGUAAUCGCGCAUCAGCCACGGCGCGGUGAAUACGUUCCCGGGCCUUGUACACACCGCCCGUCAAGCCAUGAAAGCCGGGGGUACCUGAAGUACGUAACCGCGAGGAGCGUCCUAGGGUAAAACUGGUGAUUGGGGCUAAGUCG
rnacentral:rRNA from 1 species